rnacentral:rRNA from 1 species
GACGAACGCUGGCGGCGUGCUUAACACAUGCAAGUCGAACGAAGAGCGAUGGAAGCUUGCUUCUAUCAAUCUUAGUGGCGAACGGGUGAGUAACGCGUAAUCAACCUGCCCUUCAGAGGGGGACAACAGUUGGAAACGACUGCUAAUACCGCAUACGAUCUGACCUCGGCAUCGAGGAUAGAUGAAAGGUGGCCUCUAUUUAUAAGCUAUCACUGAAGGAGGGGAUUGCGUCUGAUUAGCUAGUUGGAGGGGUAACGGCCCACCAAGGCGAUGAUCAGUAGCCGGUCUGAGAGGAUGAACGGCCACAUUGGGACUGAGACACGGCCCAGACUCCUACGGGAGGCAGCAGUGGGGAAUCUUCCGCAAUGGACGAAAGUCUGACGGAGCAACGCCGCGUGAGUGAUGACGGCCUUCGGGUUGUAAAGCUCUGUUAAUCGGGACGAAAGGCCUUCUUGCGAAUAGUUAGAAGGAUUGACGGUACCGGAAGAGAAAGCCACGGCUAACUACGUG